rnacentral:tRNA from 1 species
CCUGUAGCUCAGUUGGGAGAGCAGCGCACUUUUAAUGCGUGGGUCGGGGGUUCAAAUCCCUUCAGGCG